rnacentral:tRNA from 1 species
GGGGCGGUGGCGAAAUGGCAGACGCAGCGGACUUAAAAUCCGCCGGGGGCAACUCCGUGUGGGUUCGAAUCCCACCCGCCCUA